rnacentral:rRNA from 1 species
UACGGAGGGUGCAAGCGUUGUUCGGAAUCACUGGGCGUAAAGCGCGUGUAGGCGGCCAUUUAAGUCUGGUGUGAAAGCCCUGGGCUCAACCCAGGAAGUGCACUGGAUACUGGAUGGCUGGAGUACCGGAAAGGAGGGUGGAAUUCCUGGUGUAGCGGUGAAAUGCGUAGAUAUCAGGAGGAACACCGGUGGCGAAGGCGUCCCUCUGGCCGGAUACUGACGCUGAGACGCGAAAGCGUGGGGAGCAAACAGG